rnacentral:rRNA from 1 species
AUUGAACGCUGGCGGAAUGCUUUACACAUACAAGUCGAGCGGCAGCGCGGGGCAACCUGGCGGCGAGCGGCGAACGGGUGAGUAAUGCAUCGGAACGUACCCCGUCGUGGGGGAUAACUACCCGAAAGGGUAGCUAAUACCGCAUACGACCUGAGGGUGAAAGCGGGGGACCGAAAGGCCUCGCGCGAUGGGAGCGGCCGAUGCCGGAUUAGCUAGUUGGUAGGGUAAAGGCCUACCAAGGCGACGAUCCGUAGCUGGUCUGAGAGGACGACCAGCCACACUGGAACUGAGACACGGUCCAGACUCCUACGGGAGGCAGCAGUGGGGAAUUUUGGACAAUGGGCGAAAGCCUGAUCCAGCCAUUCCGCGUGAGUGAAGAAGGCCUCGGUUGUAA